rnacentral:rRNA from 1 species
ACGGGUAUCCGGCCUGAGAGGGUGAACGGACACACUGGAACUGAGACACGGUCCAGACUCCUACGGGAGGCAGCAGUAGGGAAUAUUGACUCAAUGGGGGAAACCCUGAAGCAGCAACGCCGCGUGGAGGAUGAAGGUUUUAGGAUUGUAAACUCCUUUUGUUAGAGAAGAUAAUGACGGUAUCUAACGAAUAAGCACCGGCUAACUCCGUGCCAGCAGCCGCGGUAAUACGGAGGGUGCAAGCGUUACUCGGAAUCACUGGGCGUAUAAGAGCGCGUAGGCGGGAUAGUCAGUCAGGUGUGAAAUCCUAUGGCUUAACCAUAGAACUGCAUUUGAAACUACUAUUCUAGAGUGUGGGAGAGGUAGGUGGAAUUCUUGGUGUAGGGGUA